rnacentral:antisense_RNA from 1 species
ACCAUACAUCAGUCAUCUGGCAGCAGCUCGAGAAGCAUGUCCUCCACGCCGUCAAUCUGAGAGGCAGAGAGAGAGAGAAGGCAUUGAUCGGCCAGAGCCCUCCACUCCCUCCAUUCCUCACUCCUGCGCCUUCGCCUAGCUGGAAACAGCAGGCUGGAAUGCAAUGGCGCGAUCUUGGCUCACUGCAACCUCAACCUCCUGGGUUCAAGCGAUUCUCCUGCCUCUGCCUCCUGAGUAGCGAGAUUACAGACAAAGAAUUCAAGACUAAGCUGGGCAUGGUGGCACACACCUGUAGUCUCAGCUACUUGGGAGGCUGGGCAGGAGAAUCGCAUGAACCUGGGAGGCGGAGGUUGCAGUGAGCUGAGAUCACGCCACUGCACUCCAGCCUGGCCACAGAGCGAGACUCUGUCUCAAAAAAAAAAAAAUAAUAAUAAUAAUUCAAGACUAAGAAGAGUGAAGUAUGAAGUAAUUCACCCACAGACACCCAGCUAGUGAGUGGCAGACCUGGAAGACAAACUAGUUCUGUCUGGCAUCAGAAUCUAUGCUGUCAGCCACCUCACCACAUUCAUGUGACAUCUAACAAAGUGGUGCCUUCACCUGCUACUAAGUCUUGCUAGGGCUAGUUCCAGAGCCAGGACUAUGAAGUGGACAAUGAUCUA